AUUUUUCUUGGUACUUCCUUAUAUUUUCUAGUUUCUUUCUAAAACAAUCUGCAUUAUUGUUCAUAUCUGCUUUUAAUUCCUUGAUAUUCAGCCUUAAUUUCUUCAUUAUUUUCACUACCUCUCUUUGAACUCAGUGUCUGUUAGACUGCAGAGGUCUUUUUCAUUUUUUGCUGCUUCAGGUGAAUUCUCCUGUUCUUUUAACUGGGAAUAAUUCCUGAGCUUCCUCAUCUUGCUUAUAUUUUUCUUUUUCUGUGAGUUUAGGGAAGCCAAAUUGUAGUUUUGGAGGGCUACUUCUGUGCAAGAGCACCCCUUUGUACUUUGUGGAAGGUUACUAUUUAUUUUUGGUGUGGGAUUUUAGAUAUUUGCUGCCUCUUUCUUCAGUGUGAGCAGGCUGUUAUCCCCAGGGUGCUGAGUGUGUUUCCAGGGAGAAGGAGGCAAUAGGUAGGGCUAGUAGUCAGUGCCUUGUUGCUGGGUUUUUUUUUUUUUUAAUCUUUCUGUCUUUUUAGGGUUGCACCCAUUCCAUAUGGAGGUUCCCAGGCGAGGGGCCCAAUCAGAGUGGUAGGCACCAGCCUACACCAGGGCCACAAUAAUGUGGGAUCUGAGCCACAUCUGCGACCUACACCACAGCUCAUGGCAAUGCCAGAUCCCUAACUGAGCAAGGCCAGGGAUCAAACCUGUGUCCUCAUGGAUGCCCGUAAGGUUUGUUAACCACUGAGCCAUGAUGGGAACUCCUGGUUGCUGGGUUCUUAACAGUAGCAAAGACCUUCAGGAAGGUGGCACAGGCUACUUCUAGUUGCUGGGGCCUGGGGAGGGGAAGUGGUAAUUAGUCUUAGGCGGAUUUAGGCAGUGCCCAGAGCAGUUGUCGGUGGCAGCAGCAGAGUGUGUGAGUUCCCAGGGGAGUGAUUGCAACAACAGGUGGUGUUUGGUCACAAUGCCCUCCUCUAUGGUGCACUCUGAGGUGAUUGGGGCCAAAAGUUGUGCCUGUUCACAGACCCCUAGUGGUGGCGGGCCACAUCCACCUCUGGAGUCAGUGAUAACUGUGGUGGUUUGCCCCCACCACCUGUAGACCACUCAAGAAGCACCCCAUCCCUCUUAGCCCAUGCAGUAGUUGCUGCACAGUCUGCUCCUUGUUGUAGGAUCCUGGGAAGGGACAGUGGUCAAGCAUGUGGGUGCUGCCUGGAGUGUUUGGCAGUGGCAGCAACAGGGCGGGUGUGUUCCCAGGGGUGUGAGAGCAAUAACAGGUGGUGUUCAGUCACAAUACCCUGUGGUGCUUUCUAAGGUGAUUGGGGCCACAAGUGGUGCCUGUUCAUGGACCCCUGGGGGUGGUGGGCCACCCCACCUCUGGAGUCAGAGAUAACUGCAGUGGUUUGCCCCCACUGUGUAGAUCAUUCAAGAAGCACCCCUUCCUGCUUAGCCCACACAAGAGGUGCUCCACAGCCUGUUUCUAGUUGUGGAGUCCUGGGAAGGGACCAUGAUCAAGAGUCUAGGCACUGACCAAAACUUUUGGCAUUGGCAGGAGCAGUGUGUGUGAGUUCCCAGGGUAGUGAGAGCAACAACAGGUGGUGUUUGGUUGCAAUGCCCUCUUCUGUGGUGCCCUCUGAGGUGAUUGGGGCCACAAGUGGUGCCUGUUCAUGGAUCCCGAGUGGCGGCAGGCCACCCCCACCUCUGGAGUCAGAGAUAACUGCAGUGGCUUGCCCCUGCCACCUGUAGACCACACAAGAAGCACCCCAUCACACUUAGCCCCCCAUUGCCCUUAGCCCACACAAGAGGUUCCCUGCCACCCAUAGCCCACAGAAGAAGCACCUGGUCUCCCGUAGCUGGAGCAAGUGGCCUCUCCACCUGUAGCCUGCACCAGAGGCUCCCCACCCUCUGAGAGCCCUCACUUGCUCAGGGAGAUUCCUAGAGUUCUCCACCCCUCCUCCCCUCACCCUCCCCAACAAUGGUGCCUUGCUUCUCCUGAGGGCCCAGACCUCUUCCCAGGUUCCCUCUGCCAUGGCCUUCUGCUCCCCAGCCCAUGGCACACCACUCCCUAGCCCCUCAGGCUGUCCCUACACAAUGAACCCUAGUCCUCCUCUCCUAGAAACUGACCUCCAGAGCCUGUGUCUCAGCACCCAGCACCUGUCCCUAAGCAUCUCAGGCUGUGGUGUCUGGGGCUGUGGAGCAGAUGAUCUGUGCAGUUUUCUGCUUUGCCCUCCUCAGUCCAGUCGCAUUUUUCUCAGCGACUUUGAGGUCUGUCCAUCUUGGCUGAUCUCCCUGUCAGUUAGGUGUCUCCCCAGGGUAUGGGUUCCUUUUCUCUUUCACCGCUCCCUCUCAUGAAUUCUUGUCCAGACCUGAUUCCCUUUUUCUCUCUCUAUCUUUUUUCUUUUGUUCUACCCAGUUAUGUCGAGGGUUUCUUGCCCUUUUUGGAGCUUUAAGUUCUUCUGCAAACAUUCAGUAGAUGUUCUGUGUGAAUCGUUCUACAUGUAGAUUUUUUUUUUAAGUCUCUGUGGGAUAAGGUGAGUGCCACGUCUUACUCCUCCACCAUCUUGAUCCUUCCCAGGUUCAGAUACUUCUAUUGAAUUUUUACACCUUCCUUAUUUAUUUAAAAAAUUAUUGGUGUAUAAUUGACUUACCAUAUUGUAUUAGUUUCAGGUGUACAGCAAAAUGAAUCAGUCAUACAUAUACAUAUAUCCCUUCUUUUUUUCCCAUACAGGUUAUUGCAUACUAUUGAGUAGAUUUCCCUGUGCUCUACAGUAGGUCCUUGUUAAUUAUUUUAUAUAUAGUAGUUACACCUUUUUUCUUCUAAUGAAUUUUUAACACCUUUGUCAAAAAUCAGUUGAGUGUAUUUGUGUUGGUCUCUUUCUGGGUUCUCUAUUUGUUUCCUCUGGUCUGUGUCUCUCAUUCCUCUAAUAUCACACUGUCUUAAUUUACUGCCUUAUCAUUGGAUAGAGUGACUCUCCCUGGUUUAUUUUAUUUUUAUCUCAAAAUUGUUUUAACUAUCAUAGUUACCUUGUUUUCCUCACAAAUUAUAGAAUAAGCUUGUCUGUAUUUAUGAAAAAUCUUGCUGGGGUUGUGAUGCUAAUUCAUGUAAACCUAGAGAUUGCUUUGAGGAGACUUGAGAUAUUUAUGGUACUGAGUCUUCCACUCAACGAACACUGCAUGUCUUUCCAUUCAUUUAGAUCAUUGCUUUCUUGCUUUCAUCAUUUGACAGGAAGGGAUACACCUAUGAACUGAGAAGAUUGGUAGAUUCGCAGUGGCUUUAUCUUACUCUGUGAACUCUAUAGCCUUAGCUGCCCACUUUGUGGUGACAGCUCCCUCAUAAGGUCAUUGUGAAGAUUUAGAGAGACAUUAUAUGUCUGAGUCCUGCCUCUGACAUGUUUAUUUUCCUCCUUGUUAUUCCUCUUUAGCUUUUGGGUCUUUCAAGUCCUAUCUGAGAACCCACAUGCAGUGGGACUGACUUCCAAGGGAUUGUUGUGAGGAAGUGAUAUGAGAAUUCAAGUAAAGCACUGAAGAGACUGCCUGACACAGAGUAGGGGCACCAUAAGCAGUGCAUGUAUUACUAUCAUAUGAAUGUAGGGAGAUAAAACUAUCAUUUCUUCCUUUCCCUGAAAGAAACUGUUGGCAGAAAUCAAGAAUCUAGUCCAAAGACCCGCCAGCAUGAGGCAGGUAGCAGGAUCUUGCUGAAGGUUUGGGACAGUGGAGAAAGUUCAUCCCAACAUAGCAGAGGACAUGAAAAACAAUCUCAGAGCCAAGGGCCUGCUCUGUCCCAACUUUUACAUAAAAGAAUAAGAAAACAUAUGUUUGUGUUUGUGUCAGAGCAGAUAUGGAAGAACAUACCCCAGACUGGGCUGUGGAGAAUUGGGGUAACUUUCACUUUCACUUUGUUCCUUUCUGUGUUUGAAAGCCAUUUGUUUCAUUUUAAUUGAGCAUGUGCUACACUAAACAAGGGUAAAUUAUUUUUUAAAAGACCAACCAAUGAACAAAUUAACCAAUCAGCAAAUCACACAUAAGCAUCUCAAGGCAUUUUCAUUCAAACUUUUCUUCCAUUCAGCCUCCUGCCUGACACUUGGGCUCCCUCACCUUCUUGGCUUAGCCCUCUCUCAUCCUCCAGAGUUCCUUCUGCAGUUACCCUUCUGCAGAGAAGCUUAGCUGCUAUCUCUCGUUAGAUGCAAGCCAUCUCAGCUGGGUCCAGAGGGCCUCACUCAUCUCCCAAGCUGAAUGAGCAUCCCUGCAGGUAUGUUCCAAAGCAAAGACAGCUCCUGUUCUGAGAGGAAUUAUUUGGUUAGCUCCUCAAGGAUUUUUCUUCUCUCCCCCUUCAUAUGGGUAAAGUAGCCUAAGGCUACUGAGUUUAAUGAAAUUCCCUGUGAGGCGGCUGAGAGGGAACGCUAAGGUAAUCCAUCCACAACCCUAUUCAGAAAGUUCAAAGAGAAGUGUUUGGUGCAGUUAUGAGGUAUUCUGCAGUACAGUGUUUAAAAUGCACCAGGCACUCUUAAAAAGCUUCACAAAGGCUAACACAUUUAACUUUCAUCACAACCUCAUGAGGGACUUCCUGUUAUUACUCCAGUUUGCUAAGGAGGAAGUUGAUGCACAGAGAAGUUACCUGCUAUGCACAAGUUCACACAGCUUGUAAGGAGAGGAGCCAGGGUUUCAAGAAUGCCCAAAUCAUGUCCCUCCUCUCUUUGUCCAAUAGCCCAACUCCUCCAUACACAACUUUACUGGCCACUUUCUUACACAAAGUACAGUAUUCAGCUUGCAAUCAUAAUAUCACUUCUUGAAGAGCUCAGCCAGUACCCAACUCCCAAAAGCCAGAUUGAAGAACGUGAUUUAUUUGGUACAUUGUAGCAGCAUGUCCUGCUUGAAAUUAAAUUUGUGAUUACCUUCUUUUUCAUCCACAUGUUACUGAAGGUAGUUGUGUCCUCAUAAAAGGAUGAUUUAGGGUAGCUAAACAAAGGGGGUGCUAUAGUCUCAUUUCAGGAAAUGCAAAUGAGAUCAACCUUUUUUUAGUUGAGUACCUCAAGAUACAGUGUUAGGCUAGGGUUAAGGUAUAAUCGCUGGGACUGUGGAUCUAAAAGUUUACAGAAGGCUCUGACCAUCUUGAGCCUAAAUUCUGCCAUUGCUCUUCCACCAGAGAAGUGCCUGUAUCUGCUGGAAACACAUAAAAAAUCAUGUAGAACUGAGUGAAAGAGUUGAUUUUCAGCCAAACUUGUAAAAUGCACUUCAAACAUUAUUCAAAAGUAAAUUUAAGGCCAAAGUGUGUGUAUUUAAAAUGAAAAGACUGAAAAAUAUAUGCAGCAAAUAUCCAAAAUGAUAAGGUAGAAUGGAACAUCCGAUAAAGAGUAGAAAUCAACGAAGUAGAAAACAAACAAUAGAAAAGUCAGUUAAACCAAAAGUAAAUUUGUCCAAAAGACUAGUAAAAAAAGAGAAAUAAGAAAAAAAUGAAUGUGUUCUAAAUGCUACUGGAUUAUACACUUAAAAUGGUGAAUGUUAUGUUAUGUGAAUUUUGUCCCAACAAAAAUAUUUGUAAUGGCAAAGGGGAGAUAUAACUAUGGACAGAAUACAGAAGAAUCAUAUCAUAUGACAUGAUGUCUAGUAAUUGCUUUAAAGUACUCCAUUAAAAAGUAAGGAUUAUAGAUGAAACAAGAUACCCAAAAUGUUGAUAAU
ensembl:lncRNA